AUUGAACGCUGGCGGCAGGCCUAACACAUGCAAGUCGAACGGUAACAGGAAACAGCUUGCUGUUUCGCUGACGAGUGGCGGACGGGCGAGUAAUGUCUGGGAAACUGCCUGAUGGAGGGGGAUAACUACUGGAAACGGUAGCUAAUACCGCAUAACGUCGCAAGACCAAAGAGGGGGACCUUCGGGCCUCUUGCCAUCGGAUGUGCCCAGAUGGGAUUAGCUAGUAGGUGGGGUAACGGCUCACCUAGGCGACGAUCCCUAGCUGGUCUGAGAGGAUGACCAGCCACACUGGAACUGAGACACGGUCCAGACUCCUACGGGAGGCAGCAGUGGGGAAUAUUGCACAAUGGGCGCAAGCCUGAUGCAGCCAUGUCGCGUGUAUGAAGAAGGCCUUCGGGUUGUAAAGUACUUUCAGCGGGGAGGAAGGGAGUAAAGUUAAUACCUCUGCUCAUUGACGUUACCCGCAGAAGAAGCACCGGCUAACUCCGUGCCAGCCGCCGCGGUAA
rnacentral:rRNA from 1 species